rnacentral:rRNA from 1 species
CUUUCUUUGCUGGCGACCGGCGCACGGGUGAGUAACACGUAUCCAACCUGCCCUUUACUCGGGGAUAGCCUUUCGAAAGAAGAUUAAUACCCGAUAGCAUAAUGAUUCCGCAUGGUUUCAUUAUUAAAGGAUUCCGGUAAAGGAUGGGGAUGCGUUCCAUUAGGUUGUUGGUGAGGUAACGGCCCACCAAGCCUUCGAUGGAUAGGGGUUCUGAGAGGAAGGUCCCCCACAUUGGAACUGAGACACGGUCCAA